GGACACGCUCAGGAUGGUCCCUUUGCUUUCAUUAAGAGUUCCAAGAUGAGGGUCUGAUUGACUGGGGUGUGAAAUGUAACAGUCAAUGGUGUACUUAAGCUAAGACUGUCAGUCCCAAUAUUCAAGAGUGAUGCAUUCUCAAGAAGGAGGAGAUUAAUGAACCCUCCCCUCUUACAAUGAACAACACAUGGACACUCUCAGGAUGGUCCCUUUGCUUUCAUUAAGAGUUCCAAGAUGAGGGUCUGAUUGACUGGGGUGUGAAAUGUAACAGCCAAUGGUGUACUUAAGCUAAGACUGUCAGUCCCAAUAUUCAAGAGUGAUGCAUUCUCAAGAAGGAGGAGAUUAAUGAACCCUCCCCUCUUACAAUGAACAACACAUGGACACGCUCAGGAU